AGAGUUUGAUCAUGGCUCAGGACGAACGCUGGCGGCGUGCCUAAUACAUGCAAGUAGAACGCUGAAGUCUGGUGCUUGCACCGGAUGGAUGAGUUGCGAACGGGUGAGUAACGCGUAGGUAACCUACCUCAUAGCGGGGGAUAACUAUUGGAAACGAUAGCUAAUACCGCAUAACAGUCCUUAACUCAUGUUAGAGGCUUGAAAGGGGCAAUUGCUUCACUAUGAGAUGGACCUGCGUUGUAUUAGCUAGUUGGUGAGGUAACGGCUCACCAAGGCGGCGAUACAUAGCCGACCUGAGAGGGUGAUCGGCCACACUGGGACUGAGACACGGCCCAGACUCCUACGGGAGGCAGCAGUAGGGAAUCUUCGGCAAUGGGGGCAACCCUGACCGAGCAACGCCGCGUGAGUGAAGAAGGUUUUCGGAUCGUAAAGCUCUGUUGUAAGAGAAGAACGUGUGUGAGAGUGGAAAGUUCACACAGUGACGGUAUCUUACCAGAAAGGGACGGCCAACUACGUGCCAGCAGCCGCGGUAAUACGUAGGUCCCGAGCGUUGUCCGGAUUUAUUGGGCGUAAAGCGAGCGCAGGCGGUUUGAUAAGUCUGAAGUUAAAGGCUGUGGCUCAACCAUAGUACGCUUUGGAAACUGUCAAACUUGAGUGCAGAAGGGGAGAGUGGAAUUCCAUGUGUAGCGGUGAAAUGCGUAGAUAUAUGGAGGAACACCGGUGGCGAAAGCGGCUCUCUGGUCUGUAACUGACGCUGAGGCUCGAAAGCGUGGGUAGCGAACAGGAUUAGAUACCCUGGUAGUCCACGCCGUAAACGAUGAGUGCUAGGUGUUAGGCCCUUUCCGGGGCUUAGUGCCGCAGCU
rnacentral:rRNA from 1 species